CUCCAGAUGUUGCUGAACUACAACUCCCAUGAUUCUAUUAAUGAAAUAGAUAAGCUGAGAAUCAUGGGAGUUGUAGUUCAGCAACAUCUGGAG
rnacentral:miRNA from 1 species